rnacentral:rRNA from 1 species
UACGGAGGGUGCGAGCGUUGUCCGGAAUCACUGGGCGUAAAGGGCGCGUAGGCGGCCUGAUAAGUAGGGGGUGAAAUCCUGCGGCUUAACCGCAGGGCUGCCUUCUAAACUGUCAGGCUCGGGCACAGUAGAGGCAGGUGGAAUUCCCGGUGUAGCGGUGGAAUGCGUAGAGAUCAGGAAGAACAUCAGUGGCGAAGGCGGCCUGCUGGGCUGUUGCUGACGCUGAGGCGCGACAGCGUGGGGAGCAAACAGG